GAUGAACGCUGGCGGCGUGCCUAAUACAUGCAAGUCGAGCGAACAGAUAAGGAGCUUGCUCCUUUGACGUUAGCGGCGGACGGGUGAGUAACACGUGGGUAACCUACCUAUAAGACUGGAAUAACUCCGGGAAACCGGGGCUAAUGCCGGAUAACAUUUAGAACCGCAUGGUUCUAAAGUGAAAGAUGGUUUUGCUAUCACUUAUAGAUGGACCCGCGCCGUAUUAGCUAGUUGGUAAGGUAACGGCUUACCAAGGCAACGAUACGUAGCCGACCUGAGAGGGUGAUCGGCCACACCGGAACUGAGACACGGUCCAGACUCCUACGGGAGGCAGCAGUAGGGAAUCUUCCGCAAUGGGCGAAAGCCUGACGGAGCAACGCCGCGUGAGUGAUGAAGGUCUUCGGAUCGUAAAACUCUGUUAUUAGGGAAGAACAAAUGUGUAAGUAACUGUGCACGUCUUGACGGUACCUAAUCAGAAAGCCACGGCUAACUACGUG
rnacentral:rRNA from 1 species